rnacentral:rRNA from 1 species
CCUACGGGAGGCAGCAGUGGGGAAUAUUGGACAAUGGGGGCAACCCUGAUCCAGCCAUGCCGCGUGUGUGAAGAAGGCCUUUUGGUUGUAAAGCACUUUAAGCAGGGAGGAGAGGCUAAUGGUUAAUACCCAUUAGAUUAGACGUUACCUGCAGAAUAAGCACCGGCUAACUCUGUGCCAGCAGCCGCGGUAAUA